UAAUAAAAAUCUCCUUUCUUUUCAGUAAAUUAUAAUUUUUUAAGUAGAAUAAUCAAAAUUAUUUUUUAGGAAAAAAUUACCGCAAGGGAAAUAAUUAGCUAGUGAUAAAGUUGAAUUUUCGUACCUUUUGUAUCAGGGUUAGUCAAAUUUUGUUUUAAAUAAAGUUUUCCCGAAAGUAGGUGAUCUAUUUAUUCUUAACAAGUUUGUGUCAUAACACUGUUAAAAGAUUAAAUUGUUGUUAUAAAUAACUCGUACCUUUAUAUCUGGUUGGCUUUUGUUCCUUUUAGAGGGGUCCAAAAUUUGGUUUAAUUAAUAGGGGAUGAGCUCUAUUAAAAUUUAUAUUAUUAUAUUUGUUAGUUAGUUAAUAUUUAAGGCUUAGAAAUUGCCCUUUUGUAAUAAUUAUAUUAACCUAAAAUUUAUUUUCUUAUAAUUAAAUUGGAAAUAGCUUUCUUAAAUUAUUUGUGCUUUGAGUGAAUAAUGAUUAAAUUAGUAGAAAAAAUUUUAUUUUAUUGUUUUAAUUAUUAAAUGAAUAAAAUUAAAACUUGGAAAGGAAUUCGGCAAAAUUAAUUUCCGCCUGUUUAACAAAAACAUGGCCUUUUAUAUUUUUAAGGUCUGGCCUGCCCACUGAAGUUUGAAGGGCCGUGGUAUACUGACCAUGCGAAGGUAGCAUAAUCAUUUGCCUCUUAAUUAGGGGCUGGAAUGAAGGGUUAGACGAGAAAUUUUCUGUCUCUUCAAGUUAUUUGAAUUUAAUUUUUUGGUGAAAAAGCUAAAAUGUUCUUGGAGGACGAUAAGACCCUAUAGAUCUUGAUAAAUUUUCUUCUGAUUUUUUGGUUGUUAGUAAAUCUGUAAUAAGUUUAUUUUGUUGGGGCGACAUUGAGUGGAGAAUAAUCUCUCAAAAUUUUUUUACAACUAUUAUUGUCUUAUGAUCCUUUAGUGAAUUAAGAUAAAGUUACCUUAGGGAUAACAGCGUAAUUUUUCUUGAGAGUUCUUAUCGACAGAAAAGUUUGCGACCUCGAUGUUGGUUCAGGAUUCCUUUUGGGCGCAGUAGCUUAAAAAGGUAGUCUGUUCGACUAUUAAAUUCCUACGUGAUCUGAGUUCAGACCGGCGUGAGCCAGGUUAGUUUCUACCCCCGAGAUUUUUAAAUUAUAGUAGUACGAAAGGACCCUUUAAUUUUUUGUUA
rnacentral:rRNA from 1 species